ACUUCUUCUCAAGUACAUUACGUCUGCAAUAUAUUAUAAGCACCAAAACACUAUGCAAAAUAAGUGAAAGCACACAAGAUGAACACACAUGUAAAGACAACCAACAACUAGAAAUUGAGGGGAAGAGCUUUUAUAAUUGCUUUGAAUUUCCACAGAAUGAAAAUUCUCCUACUAGUUGAUUAUUAAUAAUAAAUUGAAUCAACCGUUUGGCCCCAGACUAAAGAUGUAAGCCUAGCCCAUCACCUAACCUGGGACAAUGUAAUAAAAUUUACAGAGGCCACAUCCCCAGCCUUUGCCUUUGAAGCCAACAAAGGUAUAUCAUUAACCCAGAGUCCUUAUACUGAACUAUGUUCCUUCCAAAUCUCAAUUGCAAUAUGCAAAUUUAACUCCUCAAAAGUCCUAUGCAAUAUUGAUCUCCAAUAGACACUAGUUUAAUAAUCACUAAUCAGUUAAGCUCACUACCAAAAUCUAGACCAUUCAUUGAAGUUCAACAUCAACUGAUAGAAGUGAUGUGGAAACUUAUUACAAGUCUCCGUGGUAAUUGACCUGACUAGAGUUCAUGCACAACAGUGGAAGAAAAAAAAGAAGGCCAUUAAUGUUCCUUUCUAACUUUACAGUUUACACAAACAGGAAGAAGGUAACUAAUGCUUCCACUAAUGUAGAAAGAAAUAAUUUUAAUGCAGAUGCCAGUUCUUCACAAAAUUAUCUUUUAUUCAAACAAAAAUUUCAAUUGAUAACUUUUCUUUGAUAAUAUUUAAACAUUUGAUGGUGCAUGGGGAAAUUUAAGUAUUGUUGUAAGACAUAAUGACACCAUGAUGAAUAAAGCAGAGCAUGAGAUGGCUAGAAUGAGCAGCUGGAAGAAGAUUCUGAAUAUGUGAUCAACCAUCAUGAUAGUCAUCAUCAAUAAGAGACCAUAGCUGUAUCAGUGAUGUCUUCAAUGAUGGGAUAACCAAGACAUGCAACUGACACUGAAGUUGAUUGGCAAUAGAAGCAUUGGAGUUGCAACGUUUUUGAACAAUUCCAAGAGACUCAUAUGAAGUGGCAUCCACACAACUUUUCAAAAAUUAAUUAGCUUCAGGAAGGCAAAAACUGCUAUUAGACCACUUUGACCUACUCCAGUGAACUAGAAAAUAACUAGAGAGACUAUUUUUUAUCAGAUAAAAACUUGAAGACUGAUGAUGCAUUUUGCCAAAUGAGGCAGCUAAUGCAUAGGCAUGUGAUAAAUUAUAUUUUGAUUAUUGCCUGGAUCUUCCAUACAAACGAAUAAACAUCUGGUGUUUCCCAGUCAUUUGCAAACAGUAAAGAAACAAAAUCAUAUAUAGAGAAUGACUCAUUUCAAAUUAGCAUUGGCUGCUUUUCCCAAAUGGCUGAAUAACCAAUUUGUUGAAGAGGGCUACUGCAUCAUGUAAAUAUUCAACUAUGACAAAUAGAUAUUACAAAAUUAUUCUUUUGCUUUUGUCCAAGGAACAACAAGAGCAAACUAAUAAAUUUUGAGACUUGUGAGGACAAUAAGUACUUUUACCAAAAUCAUUUCCCUCUUCUGAUAUUUUAUUUUUUAAUAAAAAAAAGGAAAAAUUCCAAUUAAGCAAAUCUGGAUAGCGGAAUUAGCACUCAAUACUAAGGUCAGGUUGUACAAUAUUAUGACAAGAUGUUCCAUAUUCGAACAAGAGUUAUUGCUAUUGAUUUGACAAAUCCCUGCAAGACCCGGUCAGUGAGAUCUAAUUAUUUGGGACAAAUUACAGAUACAAUUUUACAUGUAAUUUUCAUCCCAAAGGAUACUAAUCUGCACAGGCAAUAAGUUGAAUUUUCAUUGUAACAGACUAGGCCAAAUACUAUUUAAAUGAUAUUUCCAGCUGUACUUUGAGAAAUAACUAGUAUCUGCAUUGUAAACAGCCUAUAGAUCACAAAUAUAUAUUUCUAUCCCAAUUAUGGUACAUUUUUAAUGGAAAAUAUUUCAAUUAUGUAAAACUAAGUAGUAUGAAUUCCUAAGCUUAAAAAAACAAACAAAAACUUAGACACAAAUUUAUACAAGUUAAUUUAAUUGGCUAUCAAUUUGCGCUGUGCAGUAGUGUGUAAUUCUUGUCACUAUAUUAGAGUUCCACCUCUUGAUACUUAAACUUUUAAAGCCCAUCAUGAAUGAGGACAACAUUGUUUGACAAAUACAAGUUAAAUAGCCCAAUGUCAUUAUAUCCCACUGCAAAAACAAUCACAUUCACCAACCAUAUCUGCCCUUAUCUCAUGCUAUCUAAAGAAUGUACACUCCAUUACCAUUAGCAGCUUCCUUCUUAGUUGAUCAGC
rnacentral:misc_RNA from 1 species